GGGGCCGUGGUCUAACUUGGCAUGACUCGAGGUUUGGGACCUCGCUAUCUCGGUUCAAAUCCGGGCGGCCUCA
rnacentral:tRNA from 1 species